rnacentral:tRNA from 1 species
GGAGAGAUGGCCGAGUGGUCGAAGGCGCUUGACUCGAAAUCAAGUGUGGGGGUGACUCCACCUAGGGUUCGAAUCCCUAUCUCUCCGCCA